rnacentral:rRNA from 1 species
UACGUAGGGUGCAAGCGUUGUCCGGAAUUAUUGGGCGUAAAGAGCUCGUAGGCGGUCUGUCGCGUCUGCUGUGAAAACUCAGGGCUUAACCCUGAGCUUGCAGUGGGUACGGGCAGACUAGAGUGCGGUAGGGAGACUGGAAUUCCUGGUGUAGCGGUGAAAUGCGCAGAUAUCAGGAGGAACACCGGUGGCGAAGGCGGUGAUCUGGGCCGGCACUGACGCUGAGGAGCGAAAGCGUGGGGAGCAAACAGG